rnacentral:rRNA from 1 species
AGGAGAGUUUGAUCCUGGCUCAGGAUGAACGCUAGCUACAGGCUUAACACAUGCAAGUCGAGGGGCAGCAUGAUCUGUGCUUGCACAGAUUGAUGGCGACCGGCGCACGGGUGAGUAACGCGUAUCCAACCUUCCCCUUAGUAGGGCAUAGCCCGGCGAAAGUCGGAUUAAUACCCUAUGUUUUCCAAUGAGGACAUCUGAGCUGGAAUAAAGAUUCAUCGCUAAGGGAUGGGGAUGCGUCCGAUUAGGUUGUUGGCGGGGUAACGGCCCACCAAGCCUUCGAUCGGUAGGGGUUCUGAGAGGAAGGUCCCCCACACUGGUACUGAGACACGGACCAGACUCCUACGGGAGGCAGCAGUGAGGAAUAUUGGUCAAUGGGCGAGAGCCUGAACCAGCCAAGUAGCGUGCAGGAUGACGGCCCUAUGGGUUGUAAACUGCUUUUAUACGGGGAUAAAGUGAGGGACGUGUCCCUUAUUGUAGGUACCGUAUGAAUAAGGACCGGCUAAUUCCGUGCCAGCAGCCGCGGUAAUACGGAAGGUCCGGGCGUUAUCCGGAUUUAUUGGGUUUAAAGGGAGCGCAGGCGGGACGCUAAGCGUGUUGUGAAAUGUACCGGCUCAACCGGUGAACUGCAGCGCGAACUGGUGUUCUUGAGUGAGUACGACGCGGACGGAAUUCGUGGUGUAGCGGUGAAAUGCUUAGAUAUCACGAAGAACCCCGAUUGCGAAGGCAGUCCGCGAGUCCUUUACUGACGCUAAAGCUCGAAGGUGCGGGUAUACGAACAGGAUUAGAUACCCUGGUAGUCCCCU